GCACUGCUGAGGAGUCCCACAAUAGGACAAAACAGCCGUCCAGUAC
rnacentral:hammerhead_ribozyme from 1 species